CAGCAGCCGCGGGAAUACGAAGGGGGCUAGCGUUGCUCGGAAUGACUGGGCGUAAAGGGCGCGUAGGCGGCUGACACAGUCAGAUGUGAAAUUCCUGGGCUCAACCUGGGGACUGCAUUUGAGACGUGUUGGCUUGAGUGGAGAAGAGGGUCGUGGAAUUUCCAGUGUAGAGGUGAAAUUCGUAGAUAUUGGAAAGAACACCGGUGGCGAAGGCGGCGACCUGGUCUUUAACUGACGCUGAGGCGCGAAAGCGUGGGGAGCAAACAGGAUUAGAUACCCCGGUAGUCCCUGUCUCUUAUAC
rnacentral:rRNA from 1 species